GGCGGUUAGAAUAUUGGUACCUAAGCAAACCGCCAUCUAGAAAGCAAGUCACUAUUUGGAUUUCCACCAGAAAUCGUUCAAAUAUUGCAGAAGGACUGGAUCUUAUUUUGGUACCUACUUUGCCAUCUGUCUAAUGUUUGGUUGAAUUUUAAAAUGUAUUCUUUACCAAAAGGCAGUGCUCGGUUAUGUCCAUGCAAAAGGCUGGUGGAUCUUGGUGAAUGUGGAUUGUUAGCAUUUUCACCAGCUGGCCACUCCAGUUCCAGAUGUCUUUUCAAAUUUGGAACAAAUCAACACAUGUCCUGCCACUUGGUACGCAUCUGUGAAUCUGAGCCAGCCCCCCUCCUCCCCUGAGAUGUGGAAGAGACAAUGCAGAAGAGCAAGGAAAGGAGCAGCACUCCAGAAACACACACCUGGCCCAGACAUCAGUUUGGCGCAGCUGGCCGAGUACCAGCCUGCAGUUUGAAGUGGUGUCUCAGCUGUUGGCUCUGGCAGUUCUUCUUUUGGGGGCAAUGUUGCUAAAGGUGACAGGUACAGGAUCCAUUUUUCAGGGCCAGGAUUGGGAGCACACCCAGACUUUGCACUCUGCACUGGCCACCUGCACCACAGCCCUAUCCCGCUUGGCUGCAAAAGCAGCUGUUGGCCUGGUGCCCACGUGCGUCUCCUGUAUCAUGUCAUUGGGCUCCACCGAGCUGGUGAUCUUAAUGGGUCACCUGAAGUGUAGUGAGCUCAGCUUAGAGGCUAGAAAUUCUUUAACUUUCUAAAUCACAGCCUCCACUGCCCAGCUGUCAGGUGGAGUGUCUUCCCUCUGUCUUUGCUUUCAGAUUCAUUCAGGUUCCUUCGCAAACCUCCAGUGAAUAUUUCUUCCUGUAGAUUUGAGCUUGAAUUUCCCAAAGAAGUUCUCAAUGGUCACCUGUCAUAGGAAGUGACUGGGGUCUCCCAUUAGGGGCAAAAUCUCGGGUCUAGAAAUUGCCAGGCCGCAAGCGUGGGCAGAAUUCAUUUUGGACACAUCCGAGCUUCACCACAUGUGCUGAUUUUGUGGGUUGAUGGAAAGCCACAGAUAUUCCUUGGGGGCCUGUGCGGGACAGAGGCUCCUCACAGAUACCCUCAGUGGGACAAUGCCCAGAGGCCUGACUGGGCUGCUCUGAGGUCAACUUGGAUUCCUGGUGCAGGCAGCAUGAGCUUGGGAGACUGUAUCUGAGCAAGAGCCAUGUGGGGCUCAGACCCUGGCAAGGUGACACUCUUUUUGCCAUGAAGGUUUGGCCAAGGUUGGCUCUCUCUGGAAGUGGGGAAUUACUGCUCUGAUUUGUACUGGUAGAAGAGUUGUUUUUGACAGGAGGGCCUGGGUGGGCUUCAUCCUCUGCAGGCAGAGUAGGGGAUGGCAGGCACAUUGCUGGGUUGUACCCCUCUGCCCUAUUUCCUGAUCCUUCUCGGGACCUGUGUUGCUCCUCUGAGGACUCUUGUGGAAUCGGUUAAAGGUGGCUGGCAGGCUGCUGAAUCUGUGCUGCUUGCAGCUGGCAGGUGCCCUUGUGGGGUGGGAUGGAGUGCUGAUGAGGUGUCAGGGUAAUGGGGUGCCCCUCCAGCUCAGAUCUCUCAUAACCGAGAAGCAGAUAUGUAGCCAUUAUCUCUUGUAUUUCUGGCCUAUCAGCAAGUCCUGCAUCUCUCUCUGUGUGUAACCCAGGAACCCAGCCUGUCAGGCAUUCUCUAAGGCACAGAGUGGCUCCAUGUAGGACUUCAUUCCUCAUAUUCACAACGUGCGUCCGACCAUGGAUCCUGCGUGAUUUGUUCUCAUUUCAAUGGAGAAUCAGAAGUUUCUUGGGUAGAUUUUCACAUUCCAUAACCUGUAGAAAGGAACAUGGCAUAUUUUGUUCAAAACCCGCUCCCACAACUCUUCAAGAUUCUGUCUUACAAAAGGCAGGGAUCCACUGACCUGUGUAUAGAGAAUAACUUCCAGACGCCAUAACCCUUUGGGUCUUACUUUUGGCCAUGGCAGAGUUUUUAGGACAACAUAAAGGGGUUGCCUCAGAAGGCUUGAAAAGGGUGAAUUUGUUGCUAAAGCCAAAGUAUGCAAUCUUGCCAUUCAUGCCAGCAGCUGAGAGCAGUUUUCUGGCCUUUGAGUUUCUGUGGGCAAAACACUCCUUGUGAUAAUUUGCAGAGUAGACACCAGCAAAUGGAAUUUGCUUUCAGUCUCUUCUUUCCUACUGCUGUGAGCCACUAGGCUCUCACAUACCCCUUUUCCACAGGGUUCUUCCUACAAGGAAGGAAAUUUCCUGGGCCUCUGCCUCAAUGGUUAUUUCAUUCCAUUGGGAUGAUCCCAUUUUGUGGCAGGUCUCUGGGAACUGGGGGAGUUGUGCUGAGCAUCACUGAGAAUCUUUCAGGCCAUCACUGUGCCAGUUGGGAUGUGCUGAGCCAACUUUACCUAAGUUACCUGGGUGAGUUACCUCAUCCCUGGCCUAGAAGAGCCGGGAGCCCCGCAUGGGUCUAUCCUCAGCAGAGAUGGCUUAGACGCCUCCUUCCUGCACCUGGAUUGGGUUGUCCUCAAGUUGGAUUUAAAUUGGGAAAAGCUGGUAAGAAGCUUAAAGCAAUCACUUCAAAAGAAAAGGGGGAGGGGGGAAUGAAGAGAAAAAAAAUGAGAAAAAGAAAACAGAAAAAAAAAAGACCAAAUGUGAAGGGGGGACACAUGUUAACUGUGUUCAAAAUCUCUCCAGUCACUGAAAAGCAACUGCCCAAACUAGAAAGACAGCAAGCUAGGCUCAGCCAGACACUUGCAAAGGUGCGUGGAAGUCCACAAGAACAGCUCUGUGUGUAUAAGGCCAGAGGAAGAAAUGGAUUUAAAUACAAGACUGGAGAUACCCCCAUAAUGAUUUUCUCGUUUUAUGCUCUCAAAAUCCCUUACUCUUGUUUUGGAAAAUGAGGGCCCCAAAGAGCUAUUUGUUUACAUGGGUUAUAAGCAACUGAUCUUUGCCUUCUCAGAAAUUAAAGCCUGUAGGAUGCUUCAGUGGCCUUUUCUAAUUUGAAAAACUGUGUUAAUUUGACUUGUAAAGAGCUCACAUCUACGCAUUUAAUAUAAGAUGCCUUUUUAAAGUCUGAAUAAUUGGUCUCAAGACAAUGCCAUAAGUUAACUGAUUUUAUGACAUUGUGAAAAUGUUUUUUUUGUAUCGGAUACAAUAAAGCACAUCAAUAUUAUAAACUUAAGGGGAAGAUACAUGUCACAUUUUUAUUUCUUUCUAGUGUGCUCAGGCUCUUUGGAAUAGGUUCCUUCUUUUCCAUACUCCCACCUCAGCACCAGCCCUGCACUUGCUCUUGGAAUAUCUCCUGAAAUAUUCUUUCCCAGAGAUCCAUGUAGCUUCUUCCCUCAUACCAUGUCUUUGCUCUAAUAUCACAUUCUUAGUGAGGCUUUCCCGGAUCUCUUCAGCCUUAAGAAAAAAAAAAAUCCUUGCGUAUCUUAUCUGCCAACUUAUCCAAGUCUUUUUUCUAUGGACUAUUUCAAACAUACAAAAAAUGGAAAAGCAUAAAGGCCUUUCGUCAUUUUAUCUAUCAUCCAGCAUCAAUAAUUAGUAAUAUUUUUUCAAUCUUAGUUUAUACAUAAAUACUUUAGUCUGCAUC